AGUGGCGGACGGGUGAGUAACGCGUGGGUAACCUGCCUUAUACAGGGGGAUAACAGUCAGAAAUGGCUGCUAAUACCGCAUAAGCGCACAGAGCUGCAUGGCUCGGUGUGAAAAACUCCGGUGGUAUGAGAUGGACCCGCGUCUGAUUAGGUAGUUGGUGGGGUAACGGCCUACCAAGCCGACGAUCAGUAGCCGACCUGAGAGGGUGACCGGCCACAUUGGGACUGAGACACGGCCCAAACUCCUACGGGAGGCAGCAGUGGGGAAUAUUGCACAAUGGGGGAAACCCUGAUGCAGCGACGCCGCGUGAGCGAUGAAGUAUUUCGGUAUGUAAAGCUCUAUCAGCAGGGAAGAAAAUGACGGUACCUGACUAAGAAGCACCGGCUAAAUACGUGCCAGCAGCCGCGGUAAUACGUAUGGUGCAAGCGUUAUCCGGAUUUACUGGGUGUAAAGGGAGCGUAGACGGAGUGGCAAGUCUGAUGUGAAAACCCGGGGCUCAACCCCGGGACUGCAUUGGAAACUGUCAAUCUAGAGUACCGGAGAGGUAAGCGGAAUUCCUAGUGUAGCGGUGAAAUGCGUAGAUAUUAGGAGGAACACCAGUGGCGAAGGC
rnacentral:rRNA from 1 species